AACGAACGCUGGCGGCAGGCCUAACACAUGCAAGUCGAGCGAAUCCUUCGGGAUUAGCGGCGGACGGGUGAGUAACACGUGGGAAUGUGCCCUUCACUACGGAAUAGUCCCGGGAAACUGGGUUUAAUACCGUAUACGCCCUUCGGGGGAAAGAAUUUCGGUGAAGGAUCAGCCCGCGCCUGAUUAGGUAGUUGGUGGGGUAAUGGCCUACCAAGCCUACGAUCAGUAGCUGGUUUGAGAGGAUGAUCAGCCACACUGGGACUGAGACACGGCCCAGACUCCUACGGGAGGCAGCAGUGAGGAAUAUUGGACAAUGGGGGAAACCCUGAUCCAGCCAUGCCGCGUGAGUGAUGAAGGCCUUAGGGUCGUAAAGCUCUUUCGCUAGGGAAGAUAAUGACGGUACCUAGUAAAGAAACCCCGGCUAACUCCGUGCCAGCCGCCGCAGUAACAC
rnacentral:rRNA from 1 species